UUUUUUUGUCUUUUUGCUAUUUCUUGGGCUGCCCCUGUGGCAUAGGGAGGUUCCCAGGCUAGGGGUCAAAUCGGAGCUGUAGCCACCGGCCUACGCCAGAGCCACAGCAACACGGGAUCCGAGCCGUGUCUGUGACCUACACCACAGCUCACAGCAACGCCGGAUCGUUAACCCACUGAGCAAGGGCAGGGACCGAACCCGCAACCUCAUGGUUCCUAGUCGGAUUCGUUAACCACUGCGCCACGCCGGGAACUCCCACAGAUCUAAUUAUAACCCCGCUUUCCUGGCUUCUGUCAGAUACUUUUUCUAAUACCAUCAAUGCUUCAGGAAAUUUCUGAAUAUUCUUAUCAUUAAAAAUAGCAUAUCUCCUGCAAAUUGAGAUUUCAAUUAGAGGUAAUCAUAGAGAUUCUAAAUAUAUUAUUGUCUCUUCAGAGAUGUAUAAUACCUUUGAAUCAGUUAUUUCUCUAUGAAUAGAUUCAGUUGAAGCAAAUUAUGAAUUAUAACCAUAAAGGGAACAAUGAUUUUCCUGGCCUUCUAGAGAGCUAGAAUGUUGAACUUAAACAUCGUACAGGAAAUGAGAUUUUCUUUUCUUUUUGACUUUGAGACAUGUUGUGAAUCAAGUGCAGAUGAGUUUAAUUCAUUAGCUCUUGCAAUUACGCGACAGGUCUUUUGCCUACAACUUAAGAUUUUCAAAGAAAAAUCAAUAAAGAAAUUUAAGCUUGGCACAGUAAUUCCUAUUUAUUUCUAUUUAUUCAGGUUCUAAGCAACUGGAAAGUUCAAAUCAAGGUAAUGCGUCUGGAUCCUUUUAUAAAGAUAUGCAAAUGAUGAGUUGAUACGAGAGAGUGAUUUUUUUAAAGCAAUUCUCAGCAUGUGGCACAUGCAGUAUAAUGGAACAGGGCAGGUUCAAGAUGCUACUCAAUCUACAUAAUAGAACCACGAAAUAUGAGCCAAUGCUUGUAGUAAUGUCCAUCAGGAAUAGCCAUGCUGCUUAGUUCUCUAGAGGGUUUCAGGGAUGUCAAGUCCAAGUUUCUGAUCAGUGUUCGAAAGAGCUGUGGUCUUUGCCCUGAACCCAAGAAAUAGGACACCAAUUCAGCAUGUGGUUCUGGAAGGCGAAGCUAAAAUAGUCCUGACUUAGGGACAGUUAAACUAAUAAUUCCAUCAUUAAAUUUUAGACUCACAACUUCCUCUUCCUUGCCAUUAGCAUAGCACUAACUUUCUUGGUCCUCCUUCUGAUUCUCCUAAUUUUUCCUUCAUGAAAUCCUGAUCUUUAGCUUAGCCCUUACAUGUUGGUAAUUGUUUUUUUUUUUUUUUUUUGUCUUUUUGCUAUUUCUUGGGCUGCCCCUGUGGCAUAUGGAGGUGCAGCCCUAAAAAGCAAAAAUAAAUAAAUACAGUUUUGUGGAUAAAGAAGUAUUAUAUUUUUUAUUUAUGGAUGACUAUUUUUUCAGAAUAUCUCCUUAAGUCUGCAUACAGGUAAGGUAGUAUAGCACCAUGGAAAGAAAUGGGUGCUAGGACUCAGACAGUUUGGAAAUCAGUCAAACUUUCUGGCUCAGCCACUUAACUUGUAUGACAUUUAGCAAGAUACUUAAUCCCUCUGUUCUAAACACUUUUCCAUAACACUACUUCAUAAUGCAGCUAUAGGGAAUAGACCGUGUGGCUGUGUUAUGUUAGUGUCUAUACCUAGUAGACAUUCAACAAAUGAUAACUGUUAUCAUAAAACUUAUACCUGCACAUUUUGCCUCUCUC
rnacentral:lncRNA from 9 species